AAGAACGUGAAAACGUGAGCAACACAGCCAACAGGGCACACUCGUCUUUGAAACAAAAGCGGUCCAGGGAGUUCCCGCCCAGUGUCCACCCAACCAGAAUCCCGCUGAGGCAUCGAUGGCCUCGCAGACCCCCUCCCACAGAUUCCGGUGUGUGGCGUGAGCACGUGCAGUAGACCCUGGGCUGCGAGAGACUUGUUCCGUGAACACUCACACGUGUUGACUUGAUGAACAGCCAUGUCUUGUGAUAGGAGGCCGUCUUCAGAUAGAGACCCUGUCCUCUGCUGCCUUAUUGCCGGUUACAUCACAUGCAGUGUGUGACCAGAGUUUAUUAACGCUGGGCUGUAGUCAACGUCCGCUCGAGCAUACACAGCGGCCCCCCUGCAGAAGAAGGUUCCAUCGAGCCAACAGAGAACAUUGAUUCCAUUAGUGAUAGUGAAAGUCUUCCUACACGGUGUCCCUCCUCUCUGGUC